rnacentral:siRNA from 1 species
GGAGAUCUACAACGAUGUACA